UCCGGCUGUGUUUGGCAAUGGUAGAACUCACACUGGUGAGAUAGUGGGAUCCGGUGGUUCUAGACUUGCCAACUACAGCCUGGGA
rnacentral:pre_miRNA from 18 species